rnacentral:rRNA from 1 species
GAUGAACGCUAGCGGCAGGCCUAACACAUGCAAGUCGAGGGAGAAGCCCUUUCGGGGGCAGAAACCGGCGCACGGGUGCGUAACGCGUAUGCAACCUACCUUUCACAGGGGCAUAGCCCGAAGAAAUUUGGAUUAAUACCCCAUAAUAUUGUUGGAUGGCAUCAUUUGGCAAUUAAAACUGCGGUGGUGAAAGAUGGGCAUGCGUCCUAUUAGCUAGUUGGAGUGGUAACGGCACCCCAAGGCUACGAUAGGUAGGGGUCCUGAGAGGGAGAUCCCCCACACUGGUACUGAGACAGGGACCAGACUCCUACGGGAGGCAGCAGUGAGGAAUAUUGGUCAAUGGUCGGAAGACUGAACCAGCCAUGCCGCGUGCAGGAAGAAUGCCUUAUGGGUUGUAAACUGCUUUUAUAUGGGAAGAAUAAGGCGUACGUGUACGUUGAUGACGGUACCAUAUGAAUAAGCAUCGGCUAACUCCGUG